rnacentral:rRNA from 1 species
GUCUACGGGCAUGCUACCCUAAACAAGCCUGAUUUCGGAAGCUAAGCAGGGUCGGGCCUGAUUAGUACUUGGAUUGGAGACCACCUAGGAAGACCAGGUACCAUAGGUG